GACGAACGCUGGCGGCGUGCUUACACAUGCCAGUCGAACGGAAAGGCCCUGCUUUUGUGGGGUGCUCGAGUGGCGAACGGGUGAGUAACACGUGAGUAACCUGCCCUUGACUUUGGGAUAACUUCAGGAAACUGGGGCUAAUACCGGAUAGGAGCUCCUGCUGCAUGGUGGGGGUUGGAAAGUUUCGGCGGUUGGGGAUGGACUCGCGGCUUAUCAGCUUGUUGGUGGGGUAGUGGCUUACCAAGGCUUUGACGGGUAGCCGGCCUGAGAGGGUGACCGGCCACAUUGGGACUGAGAUACGGCCCAGACUCCUACGGGAGGCAGCAGUGGGGAAUAUUGCACAAUGGGCGGAAGCCUGAUGCAGCAACGCCGCGUGCGGGAUGACGGCCUUCGGGUUGUAAACCGCUUUCGCCUGUGACGAAGCGUGAGUGACGGUAAUGGGUAAAGAAGCACCGGCUAACUACGUG
rnacentral:rRNA from 1 species